rnacentral:tRNA from 1 species
ACUUUUAUAGUUUAUAUUAAAACAAUAGAUUGCAAGUCUAAAAAAAUAAUUAAAAAAAAUUAUUAAAAAUU